rfam:Fukomys damarensis contig84357, whole genome shotgun sequence.
AGCUUUGUGCAGUGGCAGCAUCAUAGCCAAUGAGGUUUAUCCGAGGCACAAUUAUUGCUGAUUGAAAACUUUUCCCAAAUAUGAAAAAAAUUCUUUUUCCCACUUCCUUAUCAUAUUUUACACAUGAUUGCAUC